rnacentral:lncRNA from 1 species
GGUAGCGAAGGGCUGGAGGCAAACACCGAGCUCCCCCUGAGCCGCCUGGGAGCAGGGAGGGUUCUGCUACCCUGAGGGGCCCUCCCCGCGGGGCAGAGGGGUUUCCUCAGCAGUGCCCCGGAGCAGGGACCGCGCCAGCCAGCAGAAACAGCUAGUUGUUGUCUGCAGUGAAGAAUAAUUGGAAGCAUGGUGCCUGUUUCUUUUCCUUGACAUGAAAUUACUGAAAUCAUAUUUGGCCGAGCAAGCAUGAAGACCACAGAAGGACAGAGAUGGGAGAUCGUCAUUAGUUUAACAAGGAGUGUUCCACUGACUGACCUCUUUUUGUUUUCAAAUGAAGAGGAGCCAAGAAUAGGACAGCUUGGGAAGCUCAUCCUCGUCUACGGCCAAACGUUGGUUUCUCAUUUCUAGAAGAUGAAAGAUGUGAUGACUCAGGAAAAACUGGAAUCUUAGUAACUGUGGUGGGCAUUGAGCCUUGCCGUCCACAAGAGAAAGCUUGCUGCUCGAGAUGUGAGUCUUCAGAUGUUCCUGCCGCCAUAUCUGACAGCUGCUGCCAAGAUUCCCUGGUGGGAUGGACUCUUAUACCUCAACAACCAGAAGCCCAAGUAAACUCUUCUAUAAAUUGAAUGACUCAUGCUUAAAAAAAAAAA